GACGAACGCUGGCGGCGUGCCUAAUACAUGCAAGUUGAGCGAUGAAGGUUGGUACUUGUACCAACUGGAUGAGCAGCGAACGGGUGAGUAACGCGUGGGGAAUCUGCCUUUGAGCGGGGGACAACAUUUGGAAACGAAUGCUAAUACCGCAUAAAAACUUUAAACACAAGUUUUAAGUUUGAAAGAUGCAAUUGCAUCACUCAAAGAUGAUCCCGCGUUGUAUUAGCUAGUUGGUGAGGUAAAGGCUCACCAAGGCGAUGAUACAUAGCCGACCUGAGAGGGGGAUCGGCCACAUUGGGACUGAGACACGGCCCAAACUCCUACGGGAGGCAGCAGUAGGGAAUCUUCGGCAAUGGACGAAAGUCUGACCGAGCAACGCCGCGUGAGUGAAGAAGGUUUUCGGAUCGUAAAACUCUGUUGGUAGAGAAGAACGUUGGUGAGAGUGGAAAGCUCAUCAAGUGACGGUAACUACCCAGAAAGGGACGGCUAACUACGUG
rnacentral:rRNA from 1 species